AACUUUUAACAGAUCGAGACAGUAAAAAACAAAUUUCUCUCCGAUGGCGAUGCAUUAUUCAUCCUCUCGACCUCAGCCAGUCGACUCGUUCCUCUCCGAUAUUCCAUGUUAUACGAUAUCUAUGGAAAAGAAAAAAAAACACGGCAACAUCGGCAAAUAUGGAUAAAUUCCUUAAUUACCUACGGAAUAUCAAACGUGUGAAGGUUUCUACAAACGACAUGGGGGAACUUGGAAGCGACAUAUAUAUUCUCAAAGAACAGAUGGGUUACCAAACUCAACAGUGAGUAUUUAUACAAACCAUAGCUGGAAAGUAUUCACUUAUGAAACCAUACUUCAACGUGACUUCCGAAACCAGACAACAGUAGGAAAACAAAAAGAUAAUUUGAUGGAGCUGCAGAAGUAUUUAUACUGUUUUCAACGUCAAUAAAAACAGAUAAGUCAUUUUCUUUAAAGUUUUGUCAUUUAGUAGUUGGGUCAAGUUGCCAACUUUUGAUGAAAAUAUAUCUAUGUUGUUAUGCAUAUGGUUCUUAGUUUUGUUUGUAGGAUCUUAAAAUAUAGAAAGUUAAACUUACAUUUGCAUCAGAUAGUAUUAGUUCCAAAGAUUCUACCACAUCUUUAAUGAAAUGUCUCCAUGUAUGGAGGAUUUUCACUUCUAUGCGCCAAGCAGUCUUGCGUGGUUUGAUUUGGUUCAAGAAAGCGGGGUUUGAUUUGGUUCAAGAAAGAGAGUUGCAAAUUGUUAGCCAUUGGGUGUGUUUAGACUUGUUUGAGGUAUAGGGUGGAAACCGAUGUUAUAUUUAUAUUAGGAGAGGCUACAGAGGUUGUAGGUUACGCUAAUUUAGGGUAAAUAUUAUGGAGAUUUAAUUAGAUAUGUUAGUUUGUUGAUUAAGGAAUAUACUGCGAGUAUAUAGCAAUAAAAAUCUAAUUAGGUGAUAAGGAGAUCGAAAUUAAUUAUGAUAUUAAAUAAACUUGUACACCAAUUAAUUAUGAUAUUAAAUAAACUUGGACACCAAGAAAUCAAGUUUCCUUAUUAAUUAUUAAAAAUAAGGAGAUCGAAAUUAAUUAUGAUAUUAAAUAAACUUUUUUUAACGUCUAGAUAUUAAAUAAACUUGUACACCGAAUAAUUGAUAUAUUUUCGGAAAUCUGGUGUUCAAUAUCGUAUGUACAAUAUACUGUUGGCUGUUAAUCAUUUUAGAAUAUUUCAUGGUUUAAUGGUUCAGAUGUCAUAGUAUAUUUGGUAUAAUUGGAUUAUUUAGCCAGCUAUAUUAAACAAUGUCUAGAUAGGUGUAAUGGUUUUGAGUAAUUGACAUUUUGUACUUUUGAUGUAGGAUUUUUCAUAUUGGAGAAGAAGACACGUAAUGGUAAUAAUAUGGCUGCAUUCUCCAUCUAAACUGAUACAUUGGAAGAGAUUUAGAACUUUGUAUAUAGUAUGGUUAAUAAGAUGUAUUUGUAUAAGCUUUGAUGGUAUUAAUUUUGAUCCAUUUAAAAAAAAUUGAAAUUGUA